rnacentral:tRNA from 1 species
CGCGGGGUGGAGCAGCGGUAGCUCGUUGGGCUCAUAACCCAAAGGUCACAGGUUCGAAUCCUGUCCCCGCUA